CUUACAAGGCAAUGAUGCAUAGCCGAGUUGAGAGACUGAUCCGGCCACAUUGGGACUGAGACACGGCCCAAACUCCUACGGAAGGCAGCAG
rnacentral:rRNA from 1 species